GAACACAUGGCAGAGAGGUCUUGCUGAUAAAUGAAAUUCUGAAAAUAUAGAAUCCUUCUGAAGGUGCCAUGGAAAGAGAUAAUGUGAAGUUAUACCAAAUAACGUGGAAGAAAAAAUAGAUGGGGAGAUAAAUGUCAGGAGGCGCAAGAACAUGGACGAGCUCAUGCCAAUCUGACACUACAGGAGGAAUAUUUGCUGGCACCACCAACGGCAAUGCCACGUGGCCUCAGGUCUUUGGUUCUAGUACUUUAGGCCGACAGUAGAACUUUCUUAUUGGCUGAGGCCUCACUAUUUUGGCUGAUAAAUAGCUUGCCAUUUUUAAUUGUAGAGACAUUCUAUAUUCUAAG
rnacentral:lncRNA from 1 species